rnacentral:rRNA from 1 species
UCGAGCGAUGACGAGGAGCUUGCUCCUCUGAUUUAGCGGCGGACGGGUGAGUAACACGUGGGCAACCUGCCCUGUAGACUGGGAUAACUUCGGGAAACCGGAGCUAAUACCGGAUAAUCCAUUUCACCUCAUGGUGAAAUGUUGAAAGGCGCUUUCGGGCGUCACUACAGGAUGGGCCCGCGGUGCAUUAGCUAGUUGGUGGGGUAACGGCCUACCAAGGCGACGAUGCAUAGCCGACCUGAGAGGGUGAUCGGCCACAUUGGGACUGAGACACGGCCCAAACUCCUACGGGAGGCAGCAGUAGGGAAUCUUCCACAAUGGACGAAAGUCUGAUGGAGCAACGCCGCGUGAGUGAUGAAGGUUUUCGGAUCGUAAAACUCUGUUGUAAGGGAAGAACAAGUACGUUAGGAAAUGAACGUACCUUGACGGUACCUUAUUAGAAAGCCACGGCUAACUACGUGCCAGCAGCCGCGGUAAUACGUAGGUGGCAAGCGUUGUCCGGAUUUAUUGGGCGUAAAGCGCGCGCAGGCGGUUUCUUAAGUCUGAUGUGAAAGCCCACGGCUUAACCGUGGAGGGUCAUUGGAAACUGGGAGACUUGAGUGCAGAAGAGGAAAGUGGAAUUCCAAGUGUAGCGGUGAAAUGCGUAGAGAUUUGGAGGAACACCAGUGGCGAAGGCGACUUUCUGGUCUGCAACUGACGCUGAGGCGCGAAAGCAUGGGGAGCAAACAGGAUUAGAUACCCUGGUAGUCCAUGCCGUAAACGAUGAGUGCUAAGUGUUAGGGGGUUUCCGCCCCUUAGUGCUGCAGCUAACGCAUUAAGCACUCCGCCUGGGGAGUACGACCG